AAGUCAUAUGCUUGUCUUAAAGAUUAAGCCAUGCAUGUCUAAGUAUAAAUAGUAUACAGUGAAACUGCGAAUGGCUCAUUAAAACAGUUAUAGUUUAUUUGAUAGUGUUUUUACAUGGAUAACCGUGGUAAUUCUAGAGCUAAUACAUGCGCAAAUACCCGACUCACGAAGGGUAGCAUUUAUUAGUUUCAACCAUCACUUGGUGAAUCAUAGUAACUUAGCUGACCGCGCGCAAGCGUGGUAAAUCAUUCAAGUUUCUGCCCUAUCAGCUUUCGAUGGUAGUGUAUUGGACUACCAUGGCAGUCACGGGUAACGGAGAAUUAGGGUUCGAUUCCGGAGAGGGAGCCUGAGAAACGGCUACCACAUCUAAGGAAGGCAGCAGGCGCGUAAAUUACCCAAUCCCGAUUCGGGGAGGUAGUGACAAGAAAUAACAACUCGGGUGGUUUUCCACUUCGGGAUUGCAAUGAGACAAAUCUAAAAACCUUUACGAUUAACAAUUGGAGGGCAAGUCUGGUGCCAGCAGCCGCGGUAAUUCCAGCUCCAAUAGCGUAUACUUAAGUUGUUGCAGUUAAAAAGCUCGUAGUUGAAAGUCGAAUUAGUCUCGCUGAUGGCUCCAGUCGUCACGUUGGCUGAUUCUCCGUCUAUGAACUUCUUGCUCCUUAAAAAGAAUAAGAUGUUGAGUAGACACUUUACCUUGAAAAAAUUAGAGUGUUCCAGGCAGGUUUUCGCCGGAAUACAUUAGCAUGGAAUAAUGGAAUAGGACACUGGUCUGUUGUUGGUUUUUGGACCAUUGUAAUGAUUAAUAGGGACAGAUGGGGGCAUUAGUAUUUAAUUGUCAGAGGUGAAAUUCUUGGAUUUAUUAAAGACUAACUUAUGCGAAAGCAUUUGCCAAGGAUGUUUUCAUUAAUCAAGAACGAAAGUUAGGGGAUCAAAGACGAUCAGAUACCGUCGUAGUCUUAACUAUAAACUAUACCGACUCGGGAUCGGAAGGGUUAUUAAUUUGGCCCUUUCGGCACCGUAAGAGAAAUCAAAGUCUUUGGGUUCUGGGGGGAGUAUGGUCGCAAGGCUGAAACUUAAAGGAAUUGACGGAAGGGCACCACCAGGAGUGGAGCCUGCGGCUUAAUUUGACUCAACACGGGGAAACUUACCAGGUCAAAACAUGGAUGGGAUUGACAGAUUGAAAGCUCUUUCUUGAUUCUAUGGGUGGUGGUGCAUGGCCGUUCUUAGUUGGUGGAGUGAUUUGUCUGGUUAAUUCCGAUAACGAACGAGACCUUAACCUGCUAACUAGUCCAUUCCUGAAUAAGGGGUGCGACUUCUUAGAGGGACUAUGUAUGUUAAAUGCAUGGAAGUUUAAGGCAAUAACAGGUCUGUGAUGCCCCUAGAUGUCCUGGGCCGCACGCGCGCUACAAUGACACGUUCAGCGAGCUCAUUACCUGGCCCGAAAGGGUUCGGGAAAUCUUGUUAGGACGUGUCGUGCUGGGGAUAGAUCUUUGUAAUUAUAGAUCUUGAACGAGGAAUUCCUUGUAAGCACAGGUCAUCAGCCUGUGCUGAAUACGUCCCUGCCCUUUGUACACACCGCCCGUCGCUCCUACCGAUUUCGAGUGAUGUGGUGAACCAUCUGGACUGCGAGUAGGCUCGAACUACUUGCGGGAAGUUUUGUAAACCUUAUCACUUAGAGGAAGGAGAAGUCGUAACAAGGUUUCCGUAGGUGAACCUGCGGAAGGAUCAUUAACACAUUACAUGUAUCCGACAACCUUAGAUUAGGCAUAUGUGCUUCUGCCCCAACAGUAGUUGGGCAGGAAAACUUAAAACACCUAUUCUCAUCAAUAAACUAUUUAUUAAACCCAUUUAAAAAUGAGAAAAUUCUCAACGAUGGAUAUCUGGGUUCCCAUAACGAUGAAGAACGCAGCGAACUGCGAUACGCAAUGCGAAUAGCAGAACCGCGAGACAUUAGAUUUUUGAACGCAUCUGGCGCUGGUUUACCAGCAUGUUUGUUUCAGUGUGUGUGGAGAGAAUCUCAUCACCAAAGAGAAUGUGACUGAGGCUUCGGCUUCUUUCAUUAAAUAAGAGAGUGUAUGACCUUUCAUACUCAAAAAUGAAGUAGUCACAAUUUAUUGUGAUCUCAUUUCUGAAGAAGGGCUCAAACAACGCACUCAUACUUAACUCCAAUUUUUGCACCUGAAAUCAAGCAAGAGCACCCGCUGAACUUAAGCAUAUCAGUAAGCGGAGGAAAAGAAACUAACAAGGAUUGCCUUAGUAGUGGCGAAUGAACCGGCAACAGCUCAAAGUGUAAAUCUGUAGCAUACAGCUAUAGAAUUGUAAUCUAAAGGCUUUUUAGGGAAGUCAUGGUUCUAGCAUAAGUUCCUUGAAAAGGGAUGUCAUAGAGGGUAAAAGCCCCGUACUUGGCUAGGACCGGACGUACCGAAGGGCUCCAAGAGUCGGGUUGUUUGGGAUUGCAGCCCUAAUUGGGAGAUAAACUUCUUCUAAAGCUAAAUAUUUAUGGGAAACCGAUAGCAAACAAGUACUACGAAGGAAAGAUGAAAAGAACUUUGAAAAGAGGGUUAAAAGACUUGAAAUCGUUGAGAAGAAAAGCGGUAGAAGAGAAAUGAUUUUGCUGAGCAGUAUGUGGCUUUGCGUUGCUUUCUGRGGGAACAGUACUUCAUAGGGCUUACCCUUAGACCAGUURGCGCAUUGUUGCUUUUGCUCAGUGAAGUGCAAAAUGAGGUCUCGUUCUUGGAAACGUGCGCAUGAAGACUCUGCCCUUGAUGGUGGAAGCAUGCGUAACUCACUUGAACUUGGCCUGAGGGCUCCUUC
rnacentral:rRNA from 1 species